rnacentral:tRNA from 1 species
GGAGAGGUGGCAGAGCGGCCGAUUGUGCCCGCUUGGAAAGCGGGUGUACCGCAAGGUACCGAGGGUUCGAAUCCCUCCCUCUCCGCCA